rnacentral:tRNA from 1 species
GCUCUCGUGGCCCAGUUGGUUAGUGCGUCGUACUUAUAAGCAGUGCAGGAGUAUAUGCGAAGGUCGAGGGUUCGAUCCCCUCCAGGAGCA